GUUUUUGGCGAGCUGUGAUCCUUGGGAGGAGAUGAGCAGUUCUUUAUUUACUGGAUUUUGACCCUUACCUUUAUUAGAACUUGCUGUAUGACCUCAGUGCAGACUGGAAAGAUGAAUGGAACCUUGAUGGAGCUGUUGACAGAAUCUGCAAUAAUAAAGAGGAUUUCCUGCUUCAAGAAAACCCACAGAACUUUGGGCCCAAUGCUAAAAAUCUCCUAUGAGGACUCCCAUUGAAGUCAGUGAAACUCCUUAUAUGGGAAAGCAUCUGCAAGAUCAGCUACUAGGAACUGGAAGGAGUGUACA